ACGUCUGGAGAGACGGAAAUUUUUUGCUGGAAUUUUAUUUUUGCCCGUUAGGGCACGCACGGGAGCGCGUCUUCGUCUUCCUCCUGCACCGUCGUCUUCACGCCGAGCUUCUUCUUGGACAGCCUUCUCACACAGCGUCUAGCAGAGAAAGAAAAAGGAAGAACGAAGGGGGAAGAACGAAGGGGAAAGAGGAAGAAGGGAAGAAAAGGGAAAGAGGAAGAACAAAGGGGAAAGAGCAUCGUCCGUCGCCCAGCACCUCACGCCCAGCACCGUCGUAGUCUUCCUCUCCUCACGCCCAGCAUCGUCUUUCGCCCUCUCACUCGCCUCUCCCUCCUGCCGCAAGCCCGCAGCCCGCAGCUGCCUCUUUCGCCCUCUCACUCUCCUGCUCCCUCAUCCUCUCUCUCGUCCUCUGUUCUUGACAUCUGGUUGAUGGGCAUCUGUUUUUCCCUUUGAUCGUGACUCUCCGUGAGUUAUUUUGAGUGUCUCGGAAGCUUUUGAUUUUGUUUGGUGCUCUUGAUUUUGUUUGGUGCGCUUUGCUCUGGAUUUCCUGAGAGUCGAUUCCGUGGGUUUCUUCCGUCUGUUCAAUCGGUUUCUUGUUCUAACUUGGUAAAAAGCGGUGUUCCUUAAUUUGCCUCUGCACUGUUGGUCUGUCUUCUGGAGUUCUGAGUGAUGGUUGCUGGCUGAAGCCACCAUUUCUACUGCUGCCACCGUUUCUACUGCUGCUGUUGGUGAAUCGGAUGCGUGGAGUUUACUUGUGUUUAUCGUUCGGAUGUUAAGUUUCUUGUAAAGAAUUUAGUAAUCCAUAUGAGCAGUUCAAGAAUAAGUUCUUCGAUAUCAGUUUGUUGAAGUGGCUUUCUCUUUAUUAGUUUCCUGAUUGGUUAGUUUCGUCGUAUUCAUCAAGCUCUUGUGCAAUAAUAAAUUUCAGGGGUGGAUAAAAUUGUCAACCCCCAACAGCCUUCCUAUGAAAUUUGGUGCUUGCAAAUUUUGUGCAAUAUCAAAGGAACAACAGUUGAACAGGUCACAGUCUCAGAAGUCCAAAACGUCGAGUUCAGUGGCAGCAGCAAAAAUACGUGCAACAAGGGUACUUUUGCUUCUUGAAUACGGAUUAUGAGAUGCCUGUUAUUUGCGAUUCAACCAGAAUGGAAUGAAAAUUUGACGCUUUCAGUUUCUGAUCCCAUUUUGCUGGUCAAGAUUAUAGAAGCAGGUCGUCGGAGGAAAAGGGACAACGAACGAUGAAAGAACAACAAUUCAGAGUUGCUUCCUUUCACCCCCAAAAUCACAAAAAGAGACAUCGGAUAUCAAAAUCAGGUCUUCAAAGUAGAAACAAUGGCUAAGUGGACAAUGUCGCCGGAGGAGGAAAAUAACAAGCCGCUGGGAAUAGUAGCAGGGUAUUUUGCUGGAACAGCACAAUGCCGCCGGAAGAGGGAUAAAACACGGCAAUCCAACCCUAGAUAGUCCAAUAGAUGCAUUUAUCUCCGGAAACAGAUGGGUCGAUCAUCGGAAGCUGAGGAACAAGCUCCGAAUCGAUGUUUGGAACAAUAGCUUUUGCGGAGAAAAGGAGAACGAAGUAGAGAUGGGGCGAAAGAGGGGAAUGGAACGAGCUUACCUGUGAAGAAAUGCGAUCGCCCAACCGGCUCUGUGAUGAGAAGAGAAUCGAAGGAGCUCGGUUCGAACGGAGGAGGAAGAUGUGAUAGCGAGGGAGAAAGUGCUCGGUCGAUCGGCAGAUGAAGAGGCCGGCUUUGUGAUGAAAAGGGGAUAGAAGAAGCUCCGUCGAUCGAAGGAGGAAGCAGCAGUAGCGAGGGAGAAAGAGCUCGGUCGAUCGGCGGUGGCGAGGGAGAGGAGCGCGCACGAUGGAAGAAGCCCCAACGGGCAAAAAAAAAAUCGUCGAAAAAAAGUCGGACCCCCACGGGUCCGACUUUUUUCCGGGGUAAAUUUACCCUGAAAAUCGACUUUUAGCACGGUAAAUUUUCUCACGUUUGAUGGUGCUGGU